rnacentral:rRNA from 1 species
UCUUUUCCUUUUUUGCCCGCCGCCGCGGUAAUACGUAGGGAGCGAGCGUUGUCCGGAAUUACUGGGUGUAAAGGGAGCGUAGGCGGGAUCGCAAGUCAGAUGUGAAAACUAUGGGCUUAACCCAUAAACUGCAUUUGAAACUGUGGUUCUUGAGUGAAGUAGAGGUAAGCGGAAUUCCUAGUGUAGCGGUGAAAUGCGUAGAUAUUAGGAGGAACAUCAGUGGCGAAGGCGGCUUACUGGGCUUUAACUGACGCUGAGGCUCGAAAGCGUGGGGAGCAAACAGG